UACGUAGGUGGCAAGCGUUGUCCGGAUUUACUGGGCGUAAAGCGUAUGCAGGCGGACCUUUAAGUAGGAAGUGAAAGUCGGGGGGCUCAACCCUCGAAUGCCGGUGGAUACUGUCGGGCUAGAGUGCGGAAGAGGCGAGUGGAAUUCCUGGUGUAGCGGUGAAAUGCGCAGAUAUCAGGAGGAACACCGAUUGCGAAGGCAGCUCGCUGGGACGUCACUGACGCUGAGACGCGAAAGCGUGGGGAGCAAACAGG
rnacentral:rRNA from 1 species